ACGCGAAGAACCUUACCAAGGCUUGACAUGCACCGGGCAGCUGCAGAGAUGUGGCUUUCUUUGGACUGGUGUACAGGUGGUGCAUGGUUGUCGUCAGCUCGUGUCGUGAGAUGUUGGGUUAAGUCCCGCAACGAGCGCAACCCUCGUUCUAUGUUGCCAGCGCGUUAUGGCGGGGACUCAUAGGAGACUGCCGGGGUCAACUCGGAGGAAGGUGGGGGCGACGUCAAAUCAUCAUGCCCCUUAUGUCUUGGGCUUCACGCAUGCUACAAUGGUCGGUACAAAGGGUUGCGAAACUGUGAGGUGGAGCGAAUCCCAAAAAGCCGGUCCCAGUUCGGAUUGUAGUCUGCAACUCGACUACAUGAAGUCGGAGUCGCUAGUAAUCGCAGAUCAGCAACGCUGCGGUGAAUACGUUCCCGGGCCUUGUACACACCGAAGGGC
rnacentral:rRNA from 1 species